rnacentral:tRNA from 1 species
CGAGAGGAGCAAGGCAGCACUAAGAACUGCUAAUUCUUUCCCCCCUGAGGUUCAACUCCACAGUCCUCUCGA